UACGGGGGGAGCAAGCGUUGUUCGGAUUUACUGGGCGUAAAGGGCGCGUAGGCGGUCAGUGCAAGUCAGUUGUGAAAUCUCCGGGCUUAACUCGGAACGGUCAACUGAUACUGCUCGACUAGAGUGCGGAAGGGGCAACUGGAAUUCUCGGUGUAGCGGUGAAAUGCGUAGAGAUCUGGAAGAACACCAAAGGCGAAGGCAGCGUCCUGGGAAGCAUCUGACGCUCAGGUGCGAAAGCUAGGGGAGCGAACGGG
rnacentral:rRNA from 1 species